ACAGAGUUGGCCGAGUGGUUAUGGCGCUAGUUUCAGGUUGUGAUACUAUGUUCGCUCAGCGGAUGUUCAUUACUCUACUAGUGGAGCAAUCUUCGUGGGUUCGAGUCCCACACUCUUCA